rnacentral:rRNA from 1 species
GUGAGGAAUAUUGGUCAAUGGUAGGCAAGUCUGAACCCAGCCAAGUACGCGUGCAGGAUGAACGGCCCUCUGGGUUGUAAACUGCUUUUAUUUGGGGAAUAAAUUGAGGGACGUGUCCCUUAUUGUAUGUACCAUAUGAAUAAGGACCGGCUAAUUCCAUGCCAGCAGCCGCGGUAAUACG